rnacentral:rRNA from 1 species
AGAAUUGACGGGGCCCGCACAAGCGGUGGAGCAUGUGGUUUAAUUCGACGCAACGCGAAGAACCUUACCAGGGCUUGACAUCCCCUGACCGCGUAUGAAAGUACGUUUUCACCCUCGGGUGACAGGGAGACAGGUGGUGCAUGGUUGUCGUCAGCUCGUGUCGUGAGAUGUUGGGUUAAGUCCCGCAACGAGCGCAACCCCUACGUUUAGUUGCUAACGCGUGAAGGCGAGCACUCUAGACGAACUGCCGUUGACAAAACGGAGGAAGGUGGGGAUGACGUCAAAUCAUCAUGCCCCUUAUGUUCUGGGCUACACACGUGCUACAAUGGCCGGUACAGACGGACGCAAAGCCGCGAGGUGGAGCAAAUCCUAAAAAGCCGGUCUCAGCUCGGAUUGCAGGCUGCAAUUCGCCUGCAUGAAGUCGGAAUCGCUAGUAAUCGCAGGUCAGCAUACUGCGGUGAAUACGUUCCCGGGCCUU